rnacentral:rRNA from 1 species
AAUUUUGGACAAUGGGGGAAACCCUGAUCCAGCCAUCCCGCGUGUAUGAUGAAGGNCUNNGGGUUNUNAAGUACUUUUGGCAGNNNNNAAAAGGUAUCCCCUAAUACGGGAUACUGCUGACGGUAUCUGCAGAAUAAGCACCGGCUAACUACGUGCCAGCAGCCGCGGUAAUACGUAGGGUGCAAGCGUUAAUCGGAAUUACUGGGCGUAAAGGGUGGUUGGGCGGUUCGAAAAGAAAAAUGUGAAAUCCAAGGGCUAAACCUUGGAACUGCAUUUUUAACUGCCGAGUUAGAGUAUGUCAGAGGGGGGUAGAAUUCCACGUGUGGAAGUGAAAUGCGUAGAAAGGUGGAGGAAUACCGAUGGGGAAGGAGGCCCCCGGGGAUAUAACUGACGCCAAACAACGAAGGCGUGGGAGCAAACAGG